AGUGAAUGCUGGCGGUAGGCCUAACACAUGCAAGUCGAACGGCAGCACAGUAAGAGCUUGCUCUUACGGGUGGCGAGUGGCGGACGGGUGAGGAAUACAUCGGAAUCUACUUUUUCGUGGGGGAUAACGUAGGGAAACUUACGCUAAUACCGCAUACGACCUACGGGUGAAAGCAGGGGAUCUUCGGACCUUGCGCGAUUGAAUGAGCCGAUGUCGGAUUAGCUAGUUGGCGGGGUAAAGGCCCACCAAGGCGACGAUCCGUAGCUGGUCUGAGAGGAUGAUCAGCGACACUGGAACUGAGACACGGUCCAGACUCCGAGGGGAGGCAGAGGUGGGGAAUAUUGGACAAUGGGCGCAAGCCUGAUCCAGCCAUACCGCGUGGGUGAAGAAGGCCUUCGGGUGGUAAAGCCCUUUUGUUGGGAAAGAAAAGCAGCAGGUUAAUACCCCGCUGUUCUGACGGUACCCAAAGAAUAAGCACCGGCUAACUUCGUG
rnacentral:rRNA from 1 species